rnacentral:rRNA from 1 species
UCUUAGCUUGCUAAGGCCGAUGGCGACCGGCGCACGGGUGAGUAACGCGUAUCCCCCCUUCCUUACACUCUUGGACGGCCUUCUGAAAGGGAGAUUACUAUAAGAUGUUAUCAUGAGUAAGCAUUUUCGCAUGAUUAAAGGUUUACCGGUGUAAGAUGGGGAUGCGUUCCAUUAGAUAGUAGGCGGGGUAACGGCCCACCUAGUCUUCGAUGGAUAGGGGUUCUGAGAGGAAGGUCCCCCACAUUGGAACUGAGACACGGUCCAAACUCCUACGGGAGGCAGCAGUGAGGAAUAUUGGUCAAUGGACGAGAGUCUGAACCAGCCAAGUAGCGUGAAGGAUGAAGGUUCUAUGGAUUGUAAACUUCUUUUAUACGGGAAUAAACGGAUCCACGCGUGGAUUUCUGCAUGUACCGUAUGAAUAAGGAUCGGCUAACUCCGUGCCAGCAGCCGCGGUAAUACGGAGGAUCCGAGCGUUAUCCGGAUUUAUUGGGUUUAAAGGGAGCGUAGAUGGGUUGUUAAGUCAGUUGUGAAAGUUUGCGGCUCAACCGUAAAAUUGCAAUUGAUACUGGCAGUCUUGAGUACAGUUGAGGUAGGCGGAAUUCGUGGUGUAGCGGUGAAAUGCUUAGAUAUCACGAAGAACUCCGAUUG